CGUGACGUCACGGUGGCGACGCUAUAAAUACACGCUCGCCUCACUUGCGGUCCGUUUUGUCUCGCGUGGCGUCGCUGCCUCCUUCUCUGGUCGCUGAUGCCGGAGCCUGCUGGCGAAGACGCCGGGACCCCGCGGGGAUGGUGGGGAGGGAGGGACAGAAAGGACGAUAGGCCCCCCUCUUCCCAUAAAGCUGUUCAUUGACUCAUUA